AAAUGUUCGUUUUUUUCUCGCAUGAUGUCAUAUGCUUGUGCACUAAUGUAAUCUAUUUGCAUAUGUCCAUAAAACGUAUUUGCAAUUGUAACAGUAUACUUUUAAACCGUCCCCUCGCCCAUACCCGGGCGCGAACCAGGGACCUUCUGCACACAACGACAACAGUCACCCUCGAAGCAUCGUUACCCAUCGCUCCACAAAAGCCGCGGCCCUUGCAGAGCAAGUGACAUCACCGAUUGAAACGCUAUUUAGCGCGCACCGCUAACUAAGCUAGCCGUUUCACAUCCGUUACACAAUGAAUGACACAUUUUACGAGGCUACUUACAGGACGCUAUACACCAGCUGUUCGUUGAACAGUAGGCUACGAUGCUUUUGUCAUUACAAAACAAGUUAAGCAAGUUGCAUACACUAGUAUCAGAAGCCCAUCCCACCGGGCAAUAAACCACAACGCGUCUUUCUCUUUUUUUUUUAGACAGCGCGUUUAAACACUGACAGGCAGGAGGAGCUGGCCAAGACAAGGGAGCGGGUUUCUAUUAGAGGUGCAUCGCUGCCGACUCGUUUCAGUGGCGCCCAGAGACCCGAGUCACUUUUCACUUCUACCUUCACUGGAUUGCGGUUUUCACACGGACCUGUUGGAAUAUAACACGUUGAAAAUGGAAAGGAAAACGUUUUGUAUGAGAUUGUGUACUGUACUAUUUUUUACAAACUGUGUUUCAGGUAACUGAUCUUAUCCUUCAUGUAGGUAACUGAUCUUGUCCUUCAUGUAGGUAACUGAUAUUGUCCUUCAUGUAGGUAACUGAUCUUAUCCUUCAUGUAGGUAACUGAUCUUGUUAAUCAUGUAGGUAACUGAUCUUGUUAAUCAUGUAGGUAACUGAUCUUAUCCUUCAUGUAGGUAACUGAUCUUGUCAAUCAUGUAGGUAACUGAUCUUGUUAAUCAUGUAGGUAACUGAUCUUAUCCUUCAUGUAGGUAACUGAUCUUGUCCUUCAUGUAGGUAACUGAUCUUAUCCUUCAUGUAGGUAACUGAUCUUGUCCUUCAUGUAGGUAACUGAUCUUAUCCUUCAUGUAGGUAACUGAUCUUAUCCUUCAUGUAGGUAACUGAUCUUAUCCUUCAUGUAGGUAACUGAUCUUGUCCUUCAUGUAGGUAACUGAUCUUGUCCUUCAUGUAGGUAACUGAUCUUAUCCUUCAUGUAGGUAACUGAUCUUAUCCUUCAUGUAGGUAACUGAUCUUGUCCUUCAUGUAGGUAACUGAUCUUGUCCUUCAUGUAGGUAACUGAUCUUAUCCUUCAUGUAGGUAACUGAUCUUGUUAAUCAUGUAGGUAACUGAUCUUAUCCUUCAUGUAGGUAACUGAUCUUGUCCUUCAUGUAGGUAACUGAUCUUGUCCUUCAUGUAGGUAACUGAUCUUGUCCUUCAUGUAGGUAACUGAUCUUGUCCUUCAUGUAGGUAACUGAUCUUAUCCUUCAUGUAGGUAACUGAUCUUAUCCUUCAUGUAGGUAACUGAUCUUAUCCUUCAUGUAGGUAACUGAUCUUAUCCUUCAUGUAGGUAACUGAUCUUGUCCUUCAUGUAGGUAACUGAUCUUAUCCUUCAUGUAGGUAACUGAUCUUAUCCUUCAUGUAGGUAACUGAUAUUGUCCUUCAUGUAUGUAACUGAUCUUAUCCUUCAUGUAGGUAACUGAUCUUAUCCUUCAUGUAGGUAACUGAUCUUAUCCUUCAUGUAGGUAACUGAUCUUGUCCUUCAUGUAGGUAACUGAUCUUGUCCUUCAUGUAGGUAACUGAUCUUGUUAAUCAUGUAGGUAACUGAUCUUAUC